UACCAAAACAUUUCAUUUUUUUCUUCCUUUAAUGAUAUACGCUCCCAUCGAAUGAUACCUGGGUCUUUCCACUCCUCAAUUAAACAAAGAUUCUGAAAAAGAAAGCCAGCAAAAUAGGUAGCGAUGAAUAAGCACACAAUCAGAGCUAGAAGGAGAACACAAAAAAAAUGCAAAAA